CCUUUAUAAGGGAUGGUUCCUAAGGGUGCUUGUUCUGCUGCUUCAUCCUGUUUGCAAGUAGUCUGCCUGCUUGGGCCUGGAUGUCUUCACUGCAUCAAGAGAAGAUCUGCACAAGGGACUGGAAAUCACCAGUGAUGCUCAGACAUGGCAGUAGUUUUACUCCGGGACACAAGACACAUCAGACUAUACCAUUUAUGUGGGCAAAUUAAUCUCUGGAGCUUGCAAGAUGCAAAGAAAUAUUUGACAGCUGGGAACCAAAGAAAUUAAGGAAGAGAUUUUGCUACCUAAAACCAGGACAGGAGAGAAACAACUGUGUUCGGGAUUUCACUGCCAGCAGCAGCUGUUAGAGAAUUUCAUAUCUUUCCUGAACUCUUUCUCUAUCAACACAAAGCAGCUAACCCCAAGCCUGCUGUUCAGUCAAAAUCAAGCUGUCUCCUCAGUAUGAUGGGACUCUGCUUUCCAAGGGCAUGAAGAAACACAAACAUUAUGAGGCAUGAAUUACUAAAUUUUUGAGCUGUAUUCGGGUGAAAAACACAUCUGUUGUGGUGACCAUUUUAAUAAGUAAUUUGCAUUGAUGAAGACAGGCCCAUGCUGUAGAAACAGAAGCAUUUGUAGAGGCAGUUGUAGCAAAACACAGCAAGCUCUGUCAAAGGAAUCAAUUCAUUUGCUUAAUCAUUAUAUUACUAAUCAGACGGAAUUGGUGCUGAGGUAUUGUCAUAUAAGGCAUGAGGGUACCUGAAAGAGUUGUAAAAAUGUACUGUGUGCUGAACCGUGGACUCUGCAAAUGAAACAUUUCUUUUCCAGUAUAACCUCUACUGGUUUUCUGGUGCUGGUUGUACAGAACAAAAGCUUAUCAUUUAUUAAGCAAUAGACCUUGCUACCAUACUAAACUAGACCUUUUUCCCCUCUGAACCUCUCAGUUCUGUAUGAUACAGGGGGAUGUUUUGGAUGGGGGUUUCAGAAUAACUGAUUAUUUGUUGGGAGUGAGGUGUGGAUUUGGUACCUUGGAUAGAAAAAACAAGGCAGAGAAACCCCUGGGAAGA